rnacentral:rRNA from 1 species
GGCUCAGGAUGAACGCUGGCGGCGUGCUUAACACAUGCAAGUCGAACGAAGCACUUUUGACAGAUUCUUCGGAUGAUGGAUUUAGUGACUGAGUGGCGGACGGGUGAGUAACGCGUGGGUAACCUGCCUCAUACAGGGGGAUAACAGUUAGAAAUGACUGCUAAUACCGCAUAAGCGCACGGUAUCGCAUGAUACAGUGUGAAAAACUCCGGUGGUAUGAGAUGGACCCGCGUCUGAUUAGCUAGUUGGUGAGGUAACGGCUCACCAAGGCAACGAUCAGUAGCCGGCCUGAGAGGGUGAACGGCCACAUUGGGACUGAGACACGGCCCAAACUCCUACGGGAGGCAGCAGUGGGGAAUAUUGCACAAUGGGGGCAACCCUGACGCAGCAACGCCGCGUGAAUGAAGAAGGUUUUCGGAUCGUAAAGUUCUUUAAGUGUGGAAGAAGAUGACGGUACACACAGAAUAAGCCACGGCUAACUACGUG